CCUACGGGAGGCAGCAGUGGGGAAUAUUGGACAAUGGGCGCAAGCCUGAUCCAGCAACGCCGCGUGGAGGAUGAAGGUCUUCGGAUCGUAAACUCCUGUCAGACGGGACGAAGGUCUGGGGGUGAAUAAUCUCCAGGCUUGACGGUACUGUCAGAGGAAGCCCCGGCUAACUCCGUGCCAGCAGCCGCGGUAAUACGGAGGGGGCGAGCGUUAUUCGGAAUUAUUGGGCGUAAAGGGCGCGUAGGCGGUUCGAUAAGUCAAAGGUGAAAUCCCUCGGCUCAACUGAGGAACUGCCUUUGAAACUGUCGAGCUUGAGUCCGGGAGGGGGUAGCGGAAUUCCCAGUGUAGCGGUGAAAUGCGUAGAUAUUGGGAGGAACACCGGUGGCGAAGGCGGCUACCUGGACCGGAACUGACGCUGAUGCGCGAAAGCGUGGGUAGCA
rnacentral:rRNA from 1 species